rnacentral:rRNA from 1 species
GGACUACCAGGGUAUCUAAUCCCGUUCGCUCCCCUAGCUUUCGCACCUGAGCGUCAGGUACUUCCCAGAACGCUGCCUUCGCCUUUGGUGUUCCUCCGAAUAUCUACGCAUUUCACCACUCCACUCGGAAUUCCGCGUUCCUCUGAAGCCCUCAAGUCAACCCGUUUUCGCGACCGUCUCCCAGUUAAGCCAGGAGCUGUCAUCACGAACGCGGCCGACCGCCUGCGUGCGCUUUACGCCCAAUAAAUCCGGACAACGCUUGCCCCCUACGUAUUACCGCGGCUGCUGGCAC